UAUGUGUUGUGACUAGCUGUUGUCACCUUCAAGCUGUAUAUUAAGCUGCCUGCAGUGGAAGUUUAUCCAAUUUAAUAUUACCAGAACUGGACCCUUAAGAAGGACAAUGAAAAACCUAAAUGGAGGCACAGAGACCCUGCUGCAAAACCCACUGUGGGCAAUCUCCACACAGAUCUCAUGUCCCUGUUCUUUGUGUCCCCCAGCUACAGCACAGCACUUCAACAUGUAAUGAAUGGUGUUAUGAACAAUCUGCUUUAUGUAACCGAGACUGAGCAGUUAAUGCAUCCCAGCACAGAUCCAGAAGUACAAGAUAGAGCCUUGCUGUGGGCUUGUGGUGGCACCUGUCCCAGUCACAUGGUCAUUUGGGCUGUCGCAUCAUUCCCUUGCAUGGCAUGAGUUGCAGAAUCUGAUGUAUCUUAAGCAUCCCAGCUUGAGAGGAUCCUUUUUUGAACAAGGAUUUCAAUUGCAGUUUUUGCUCGGAAGAGCAUGCAAUACAAAACACUGGAUCCUGAUCGUCAGGAAGCAAUACAUAGACUUUUUCUCCCAAUAGACUGAGUUCUCUUACAGAAAAUCAUGUCAACGUCUAAUUGACAUCGAUAGCACAAAAAGUGUGAUUGACUGACAGACUUUAAUGGAAGAGAGCUGGAUAAGACCACAUAAGCUCUCAAUAGCACUGUUUUAAUUUCUUCCUGAAGAUGGAGGAUAAGAAGGAACACUCUCUGCCAUCACUUCCCAAAGAAGUCACACCACCUACUUCAGUGAGAACAGCAAAAUCUUGUGGGAAGAGGGAAGUGUCAACAAGCUAAGACUUUUUUUUAUCACUGGUUCGUGGCCCUGGGCUCAGUGGAUUGAAGAAUACCCAAAACCGCCUCUAUUCUGGGUAAGUUCUGCUUCUGGGAUCUCAGCAUUUUAAUUACUAUCAUCCAGCAGCUUCAAAUGAUCCCUGUUAACUUUGCAUUAAUGUAAUUUAAAAUUGGUCUCAGUCACUAAAGUGUGCUAACAUAUUAUCAUCUAGGAAUCUGCAUAAUAUGCAGGAUUUUGUCCAAUGAAUGGGAUGAUGCUUUUUAAAUUACGCCAAAUAUAUUCCCAAACCGCCAAAGAUAGGAGAGGCUGAGGAGCAGAGGUCGCUAGGGGGAUCUCAAACUGAACCUUAAUUUCUGGUUGUAUUCAUAAAAUGGUGAGGGUUGCCAUGGCUCAGAAACACCACUGAUAGAUGGAUAGAGAUACAGGCCUGAUUUUCAGUGGGGUAUAAAUGGUUUUAAUGAAGCUGUGCCAUUCAGCUUCAGUGGAUGCCAGCAGAGCUGGGCCAGUUUGUGUCCCAUAAACUGUGUCUAUAGUCAGAAGUAAAAACGGACUGAAUUCAAGAACGAGAAGUUUGUGGAUUUCUGAAAUAAGCUAAUUAUUGUUUUGUUUUGUUUUUUAAACAUAACAGUAUUUUUGUAUGUUUGUUUUCCUUGUUGUUAUAAAUGGUCCUUUAGUACAAAUUUUAUUGCAGAGGAAGCAGGCCCCUCUCCAGCAUCAUGUCAGACCUUGAAACUCAGUUCCUCUAGGGAAAUGAGUAUGUUCUCCCCAGAUUUGUAAAUCUAGAUGUGUCUUAGAAGAUAUUGGACUUGAUUUUCCUCUCACCUCACCAGUAUAAACUUAGAUGGCGUUCAGUGGAAUUACAUGUGUUGAUGCAAACCUGAUGUGACAAGACAGUAGGACUCAUUCCAACUUUAUCUGAUUGAAAUGAGAGAAAUUGGGAUUGGAGCUCCUUAGAGCUGGAGCAUGGGUGUAUCUGUGGGCUGAUUUUUUUGCUGCAUUAUGAGGCACUCAUUUGUAAAAUGGUUAUGCCGCCUUGCCUGUAUUGGCCAAAACUGGACCCUAUCAUAGAGUGAACUGCUGUUCUGCUGAUGAGAUUUCAGCUCCCGAAAAGCUUUCAUGAUUUAUGCUACCCUUUUGUUUUUUUGUUUUUUAAACCCUGAUUUCUAUCCCUGAGUUUGUAAGACAUGUCUGGUUGCAUUACACCUUGUCAGAAUACGAUAUGUGGCAUAAGGGGCACGCACCUGAAAAUAACGGGGAAAAAUUUACCUGAUGCAACACAUGCUACCCUACCACAGCUGCUGAUCUUCAUCAUGAUAGUGCAAUGUGAGAAAGCUAAUAGAUGCCCGCAGCCUGGCAGUUCUUGCCUUGCACAGCACCAAAAUUUGUGAGUUCCUGACAUCCUCAAGUCUAAAUCAACAUGGCACAUGCCAUACCCUUCUUUAAAAAAAAGAAAAAAAAACUAGUCUUAUUUUUGUCUUAUUGGAGUCAGUACAAUAGAAAAGACUUUUUACCUUUAGCACAAGUCUCAUUUUACAGGUAUUCUUUUGGCUCUUUCUUGUCCUUUCAUCCUAUACAUUUGUCUUCUUUAUGCCCUGAAAGAAAUAGAUGAGAGAGACCUGUAGGAUGUGCGCUGUGUUGCACAACGUGGGGGAGCACAUCUCAAGUGAUAAAAUCUCCAGGAUGAAUAACCUUUUUACAAUGAGUGGAGCAUAUUAAAAAGUCUAGAGCUGGUUCUGAAUGUCUGUUGGA